rnacentral:other from 1 species
GACGUCCUGCUUUGACCGUGAUGGUUUUCGGAGGCUUGUCUGAGCCAACGUUUAACCAAAGUGAGUUGCGACAGCCGCGUGGUGUGCACGCCUCCGUGGAGAGGAAGCCUGAAGCGCGGUUUCUACAGCGGCUCCACCUGCUGAUGCAGGUUCAGCAAUCCUCCCCACACGGCAAGGCGGGACUCUU